AUGCUUUAUUCAAAGUCGAUACACAAAAUCAAUAACCAAACAUUUUAAUAAAAUACCAAUGCGUAAAUAAAAAUCCAUUUCGAGGAAAUCAUUAAAUCAGAACAUUUAAAAUAAUUAUUUCACAAACAUGCAUUACUAUCAUAAUUAACUAUGAAAAUAGGUUUUGUAUAUUCCACUCACAGUGACGGUGUUCACGGUCGGUUAUCAUCCAUGUCCGCAGACCGGUUCUCGCUCGCGGAUCCUCCUAAAUUAGGGAAACGACAUAAUUAUUUUCCGUAAAUCGGAAUUACGACUAAAGUUAUGCAAUAAACUCGAAACGAACAUCUAUCCAUAAUUGACAACUCCCGUGUCCAUAAAAUUACUAAAAUGUCCUUGAGUCCAUAAAUCAUUAACACAUACUCUGAAAUCGUACAACACUGAAUUACCCUCGGAAUCGUAAUUACACCCACUCCUCAAUUCUCAGAAUUACUAAAAUAUCCACAGGCUCAUAAAUUAUAAAAUUGCCCUCAUAAUGUGAAAUUACCAAAAUGCCCUUGCCGGUC
rnacentral:lncRNA from 1 species